rnacentral:rRNA from 1 species
GACGAACGCUGGCGGCGUGCUUAACACAUGCAAGUCGAACGGAAAGGCCCUGCUUUUGUGGGACUCUCGAGUGGCGAACGGGUGAGUAACACGGGAGUAACCUGCCCUUGACUGGGGGAUAACUGCAGGAAACUGGGGCUAAUACCGGAUAGGAGCUCCUGCUGCAUGGGGGUGGUUGGAAAUUUUCGGGGGGUGGGAUUGGACUCGCGGCUUAUCAGCUUGUUGGUGGGGUAGUGGCUUACCAAGGCUUUGCGGGGUGGCCGGCCUGGGUGGGUGACCGGCCACAUUGGGACUGAGGUAGGGCCCAGACUCCUACGGGAGGCAGCGGUGGGGAAUAUUGCACAAUGGGCGGAAGCCUGAUGAAGCAACGCCGCGUGCGGGAUGCCGGCCUUCGGGUUGAAACCCGCUUUGGCCUGUGACGAAGCGUUAGUGACGGUAAUGGGUAAAGAAGCACCGGCUAACUACGUG